AUAGCUCACUAGUCGAGUCGGCCUGCGCGGAAGAUGUAACGGGGCUCAAACCACACACCGAAGCUGCGGGUGUCACGUAAGUGACGCGGUAGAGGAGCGUUCUGUAAGCCUGUGAAGGUGAGUUGAGAAGCUUGCUGGAGGUAUCAGAAGUGCGAAUGCUGACAUGAGUAACGACAAUGGGUGUGAAAAACACCCACGCCGAAAGACCAAGGGUUCCUGCGCAACGUUAAUCGACGCAGGGUUAGUCGGUUCCUAAGGCGAGGCUGAAAAGCGUAGUCGAUGGGAAACAGGUUAAUAUUCCUGUACUUCUGGUUACUGCGAUGGAGGGACGGAGAAGCUAGGCCUGCUUGGCGUUGGUUGUUCCUUGUGCCCUUAAGGUGGGUAGGCUGAAACCUUAGGUAAAUCCGGGGUUUCAAGGCCGAGAGCUGAUGACGAGUCGUCUUUUAGAUGACGAAGUGGUUGAUGCCAUGCUUCCAAGAAAAGCUUCUAAGCUUCAGGUAACCAGGAACCGUACCCCAAACCGACACAGGUGGUCGGGUAGAGAAUACCAAGGCGCUUGAGAGAACUCGGGUGAAGGAACUAGGCAAAAUGGCACCGUAACUUCGGGAGAAGGUGCGCCGGCUAGGGUGAAGGAUUUACUCCGUAAGCUCUGGCUGGUCGAAGAUACCAGGCCGCUGCGACUGUUUAUUAAAAACACAGCACUCUGCAA
rnacentral:rRNA from 1 species